CUGUUGGAACGUCGAAAAGUUGGACGUUUCAUUGAAACACCCUAUCUUCCUCCAAGUUAUCAUCAUUUAGAUCAACAAUUACCUCCCUCCCAUUCUCUAAUUUCUUCUCCUCAUUACCGCCACCAAUCACUUGCUCCCUAAUCGUAUUACCAUUUAUGUACAUAGUGACGGCACUAAAAUCCAUCAAUGAAAUCACAUUAUCAAUAGUACUGUCUGCAAACACUCACAAAGAAGAAUUAAGCCAGUAUUAUUUUCACAGCCACCCUAAACAAUCAGACAAGAUAUAACAGUUCAAACAUACAAGACAAUAAUUUUCAAGCCAGCGCCGAAAUCAGAGACAAAUGUGGUAAUAAUUGUGAAGAUAAAGAGUGAGUAUGAAGCUCUUAGGUUAAGCUUCGGCCCUUCAAAUGUGAAAAUCUUGCAAUGGAAGAACACAUUAGCACACUAAUCUCUUCUUCCAUUGCAAGCUUUUCCCCUUUCAAAGGCCGAAGCUUAACCUGAAGAGCUUCAUACUCACUCUUUAUCUUCACAAUCUCCAGCUACAAUCCGCAGCACAGCUCAACUUAACAGCAAAGCAAAACGUACUUCACUAUCCCUUACACUCAUGUUCAAUCAGAUUAGUUGGUAAAACAUUUCACAUGAUUUCGUAAUACAUCACACUUUACAGACUACUCUUUACACAUGUAACUUAUAUGUCAAUCAAUUGUGAUACCUUUUCCUUCAUAUCAUUCUUUACAUGUACGUUACUCUCCUAACCUCAACAACCAAUCCAUCCAAAUCACCCUAUGACUGUCACAACAGAAAAUAGUAACGUUCAUUGAGACAAUGAUAUGGAGGAAAAGAUACAGCAAUUGAUACAUCUACGUUACGUUGACUAAAUAUAUCUAACAAAUUCCAUUACUUUUCGCUUUCUUUUACCUAUUCCUUUUUGCUUUUAUUGUCCUUUAUCUAAUUUGUCUUCAACAUAACACUAAUACUCCUUUAUGUUGUCUAUGGCUCUCAAAUGAAACUGACUCAAAGAAGAUCGACAUGGAAGGAUUUUAUAGAUGCCAAUUACAGAAAUUAGUAAUCAAGACAAGGAACAUUGACUUCAUGCUUCAUGCUAUCUUUCUCUUGCAACCUUCUUAAUGAGUCUCUCUUUCUCUGCAUACAGACUUUUCAAACAACAUCCAUUCAUAUUUACAAGUUUUACGAAUCUAUGAGUGUCAACCAGCUUGAGAGCAUAUUGUCUUCCAUUUCAACUUCCAUUAUCAGAUACUCCAUCCACAGCAAAGUGCGGGCGCGUUCUCUCUCACUUUCUAAAUCCAAACAAACAUAACAUUUACAUGGAUAAAGCAUACAGUGGCUACCGUUUGUAGUAAUCAUCAUAAACUUUAUGUAUGACACUUUGCUGUUCUUUUUCAUAUUGUAUUGAUUAUGGAUUUCAGUGAUAUAAUGAAGUAAUACCACUGUUGCUUUA